CAGCCGCCGCGGUAAUACGUAGGUGGCAAGCGUUGUCCGGAAUUAUUGGGCGUAAAGGGCUCGCAGGCGGUUUCUUAAGUCUGAUGUGAAAGCCCCGGCUCAACCGGGGAGGGUCAUUGGAAACUGGGAAACUUGAGUGCAGAAGAGGAGAGUGGAAUUCCACGUGUAGCGGUGAAAUGCGUAGAGAUGUGGAGGAACACCAGUGGCGAAGGCGACUCUCUGGUCUGUAACUGACGCUGAGGAGCGAAAGCGUGGGGAGCGAACAGGAUUAGAUACCCCCGUAGUCCCUGUCUCUUAUACA
rnacentral:rRNA from 1 species